AAAAUGACUUUCUUUCUUUCAACAAUAAAUCGAUAUUGUACUAAUUAAAGAAAAGGACUAUUUGCCUACUGGAACACCAAUUAAUGUCAUGUCCCCAUAUUAAAUUCGAAUAAACCAUAGGAUUUAUCUUAAUAGUUUUUCUUUCAGGUAGGUACUCUAAUUUAUGCCCGUGUAGUCAAGGCCAACACUGGAAUGAACCCUGAGCUAUCUUGCAUGGAUGCUUCUGGAAAAGCUGCCGAGUUUGGCCUCAUCAAGGGUGGCUAUAUGUUUGAAUCGUCAACUGGUUUAUCACGGAUGUUGCUGAGUUCACCAACAUGUCCAGUUCUUGAGGGUCUUGGAA